AUGCAUGUGUCAGUACAAGCUAAACUAAAGUGAAACCGCGAAAGGCUCAUUAAAUCAGCUAUGAUUCAUUGGAUCUGUACACCCAGUUUUCCUUGGAUAACUGUGGUAAUUCUAGAGCUAAUACAUGCACAUAUAGUCCCUGACCCCGAGAGGGGAAAGGGCGCUUUUAUUAGUAUCUCAAAACCGGUCGUCGGGCUUCGGUCCGUAAACCCCUACUGUGAUGACUCUGGAUAACUUUUAGCUGAGCGCACGGUCUUUUGCACUGGCGCCGCUUCUUUCAAGUGUCUGCCUUAUCAGCUUUCGAUUGUAGGUUAUGUGCCUACAAUGGCUAUAACGGGUAACGGGGAAUCAGGGUUCGAUUCCGGAGAGGGAGCCUGAGAAACGGCUACCACA
rnacentral:rRNA from 8 species